UUAAAUUGAAGAGUUUGAUCAUGGCUCAGAUUGAACGCUGGCGGCAGGCCUAACACAUGCAAGUCGAACGGUAACAGGAAUCAGCUUGCUGAUUCGCUGACGAGUGGCGGACGGGUGAGUAAUGUCUGGGAAACUGCCUGAUGGAGGGGGAUAACUACUGGAAACGGUAGCUAAUACCGCAUAACGUCGCAAGACCAAAGAGGGGGACCUUCGGGCCUCUUGCCAUCGGAUGUGCCCAGAUGGGAUUAGCUAGUAGGUGGGGUAACGGCUCACCUAGGCGACGAUCCCUAGCUGGUCUGAGAGGAUGACCAGCCACACUGGAACUGAGACACGGUCCAGACUCCUACGGGAGGCAGCAGUGGGGAAUAUUGCACAAUGGGCGCAAGCCUGAUGCAGCCAUGCCGCGUGUAUGAAGAAGGCCUUCGGGUUGUAAAGU
rnacentral:rRNA from 1 species